rfam:Streptomyces swartbergensis strain HMC13 scaffold694.1, whole genome shotgun sequence.
GCUCCCAGUAGACGACUGGGUUGAUAGGCCGGAUAUGGAAGCACGGUAACGUGUGGAGUUGACCGGUACUAAUAGGCCGAGGGCUUGUCCUC